rnacentral:rRNA from 1 species
UACGGAGGGGGGCUAGCGUUGUUCGGAAUUACUGGGCGUAAAGCGCACGUAGGCGGCUUUGUAAGUUAGAGGUGAAAGCCCGGGGCUCAACUCCGGAAUUGCCUUUAAGACUGCAUGGCUAGAAUUGUGGAGAGGUAAGUGGAAUUCCGAGUGUAGAGGUGAAAUUCGUAGAUAUUCGGAAGAACACCAGUGGCGAAGGCGACUUACUGGACACAUAUUGACGCUGAGGUGCGAAAAGCGUGGGGAGCAAACAGG